UCUUUAAAAUUUCAUCUAUUUAUAUUAUUAAAAAUUGGCAUGACUGACAGAAUAAUUAGACAAUAACAUGUGAUGACAUACCACGUGUAUCUCUUACUGAUGUAUAGUGACAAGUUUUUAAUAACAAAAAAUGAUAGAACUUUUUAAUA
rfam:Gossypium raimondii Chr02_contig_116, whole genome shotgun sequence.